GACGAACGCUGGCGGCGUGCUUAACACAUGCAAGUCGAACGGAAAGGCCCUGCUCUUGUGGGGUGCUCGAGUGGCGAACGGGUGAGUAACACGUGAGUAACCUGCCCUUGACUUUGGGAUAACUUCAGGAAACUGGGGCUCAUACCGGAUAGGAGCUCCUGCUGCAUGGUGGGGGUUGGAAAGUUUCGGCGGUUGGGGAUGGACUCGCGGCUUAUCAGCUUGUUGGUGGGGUAGUGGCGUACCAAGGCUUUGACGGGUAGCCGGCAUGAGAGGGUGACCGGCCACCAUAGGACUGAGGUACGGCCCAGAAUCCUACGGGAGGCAGCAGUGGGGAAUAUUGCACAAUGGGCGGAAGCCUGAUGCAGCAACGCCGCGUGCGGGAUGACGGCUUUCGGGUUGUAAACCGCUUUCGCCUGUGACGAAGCGGGAGUGACGGUAAUGGGUAAAGAAGCACCGGCUAACUACGUG
rnacentral:rRNA from 1 species